UACGUAGGGUGCAAGCGUUGUCCGGAAUUAUUGGGCGUAAAGAGCUCGUAGGCGGUCUGUCGCGUCGGCUGUGAAAACCCGGAGCUCAACUCCGGGCCUGCAGUCGAUACGGGCAGACUGGAGUUCGGCAGGGGAGACUGGAAUUCCUGGUGUAGCGGUGAAAUGCGCAGAUAUCAGGAGGAACACCGGUGGCGAAGGCGGGUCUCUGGGCCGAUACUGACGCUGAGGAGCGAAAGCGUGGGGAGUGAACAGG
rnacentral:rRNA from 1 species